CAGAGGGUGCAAACGUUGCUCGGAAUCAUUGGGCGUAAAGCGCACGUAGGCGGCCUAGCAAGUAGGGAGUGAAAGCCCUCGGCUUAACCGAGGAAGUGCUUUCUAAACUACUAGGCUUGAAUACUGGAGAGGGUCGCGGAAUUCCCGGUGUAGAGGUGAAAUUCGUAGAUAUCGGGAGGAACACCGGUGGCGAAGGCGGCGACCUGGACAGAUAUUGACGCUGAGGUGCGAAAGCGUGGGGAGCAAACAGGAUUAAAUACCCUGGUAGUCCACGCCGUAAACGAUGAGUGCUAGAUGUCGCGGGUAUUGACCCCUGCGGCGUCGAAGUUAACGCAUUAAGCACUCCGCCUGGGGAGUACGGCCGCAAGGCUA
rnacentral:rRNA from 1 species